GGAUCAUUAGCAAUUUGGGCCCUUGAGGUCUAUUACUACGUGUGGAUGGACCUGUUAGAGGAGACUCUAGCGGGACAGACUCGCGGUGCGGGGAGCAAUCUCUGCUUUAGGUUAAGCUACACCCGUGUUUACUACCUUUGUUGCUUUGGCGGGCCGCCUUCGGGCGGCGGCCUAGGCCGUCUCGUGCCCGCCAGAGGACCCAAAAACUCUUUUGUCUAGUGAUGUCUGAGUACUAUAUAAUAGUUAAAACUUUCAACAACGGAUCUCUUGGUUCUGGCAUCGAUGAAGAACGCAGCGAAAUGCGAUAAGUAAUGUGAAUUGCAGAAUUCAGUGAAUCAUCGAAUCUUUGAACGCACAUUGCGCCCCUUGGUAUUCCGAGGGGCAUGCCUGUUCGAGCGUCAUUAUAACCAAUCAAGUAUAGCUUGGUAUUGGGGUUUCGCGAUCCAGCGGCCCUUAAAAUCAGUGGCGGUGCCAUCUGGCUCUAAGCGUAGUAACUUUCUCGCUAUGGUGUCUGGUGGUUUCCUGCUAUGACCCCCCAUAUUCUACGGUUGACCUC
rnacentral:rRNA from 1 species